rnacentral:lncRNA from 1 species
UUCAUAAGCCAAUUUGGCAACAUAAAUCAGAUACGAAUAAAAGUAUUAGAGUAAAUAGAAAUAUAAAAGGAGUAUUGAACCUGAGAAGAAGUUGAAAUAAUAAAGUUGAAAUAAUAAGAAAUUCUAAUUUCUUUAAGAGGAAUCCUAAUCCUAAAUCCUAAGAGAGAGGAGAGAACCUCUCUCUCUAAAAACUACAUCUAAACUAUGAAAAGUGAAUAAUUCAAUGCAUGUUGAUGAAAGAAUAGUUUCCCCCACUUUAUAGCCUUUAAUCUGUGCUUUCUGGGCCAAAAACUGGGUCAGAAACAGCUCAGAAAUUGCCCUUAGCAUAUUUUGGUACGUACAGGUCGCGGGAAAGUGACGCGGAAGCGUCGUCCACGCGUUUGCGUGGAUUGCGUUUCUGCCAGGUCACGCGUCUGCGUAAUCCACGCGUUUUUGUCGCUUGGCUUCGGGGUAGCUAUAGCAAAUUAUAUAUUGUUGCGAAGCCCCGGAUGUUAGCUUUCCAACACAACUGGAACCGCAUUAUUUGGACCUCUGUAGCAAAAGUUAUGACCGUUUGAGUGCAAAGAGGUCAGGCUGGACAGCUUAGCAACUUCUUCAACUUCUUGUAUUCCUUCCACUUUUGCAUGCUUCCUUUUCAUCCUCUGAGCCAUUCCUGUCCUGUAAUCUAUGAAAACACUUAACACACAUAUCAAGGCAUCGAAUGGUAAUAAGAGAGGAUUAAUAAUUAGCAAAUAUAAGAUCAAAGAAGCAUGUUUUCAAUCAUAGCACAAAAUCAGGAAGGAAAAAGUAAAACCAUGCAAAUAGUAUGAAUAAGUGGGUAAGAACUUGAUAAAAUCCACUCAAUUGAGCACAAGAUAAACUAUAAAAUAGUGGUUUAUCAAUAACUUGAAAGAAGACCAAAAGGAAGCCAACUUGUAGUUACCGAUGGUUGAAUUUGUGCUUGAGAAAUUUGAGAACGUGGGUUACAUCCACUGUUCACAGCGGUUGCAUUAUUAAUUGCAGCAUUCUCCCCAGGGCCACUCCAAGAAUUUUGAUUGUUUUCCUCUACCUGAGAUGUUAAACUUGCAGCAGUUUGUGCUACAACCACAGGGACAUUAUUGUUUGAUGAAGACUCUAUGUUACUAUUUGAAGUUUCUUCAGUCAUAUUGAUAAUCCUCCCACUCCAUAGUUGCAUGCACUAACUCAAUACCUAUCAAAAAAGAAAAAAUAUUUGAUACAAUUUCACAAAAACUGUUCCAUUUGGCGUACCAAUUUGUUAUGCAGAUUUUAGUAAAUUUUAGUUGGUUCGAUAUCUAUGAUCUGGGAGUGAAACCUACUCCUCUUUUGUGAGUACUAGUUUUCUUUUUUAUGCACCAAAACUUUACUCUAAAAGAAUGAAAGGAAAGAAGGAACAAAAUGCAAACUAAAAUAAAGAUCUUUAAAUUCAAAAAGAAAGAAAUUGAAGCAAAGUAAAUGCUUCGAAUUAAAAAAAGUAUACAAUUGCCUUCAAGAAAUUCGAAGGACUUUGAAAUUAAAAAUCACAAUGCAAGACUUAAAGAAAAAAGAAAAUGACUUUUGCGAAAGGAAAAUAAAUUACAUGAAAGUAAAUUAUAAGAACUUGAAAGAAAUGUAAAGAUAUGGGAGGAAUCCUACCGAAAAUAAACUCGUGACAAACUCAGAAAAUCGAUAGGAUGUGAGUGUGUGAGAGUAUUUUCUAAAAACGAAUUCUAACCACUUGCUUCCUCUGAGCCUUGUCAAUAUAUAAAUCAAUCCAACCAAUCUUGUCCUGUGAAGUGCCAUCUUUCAAGAAUUUGAAAAAAAAAUAAUUGUUCUCGCCAAAAUAUAAAGUCAAAUAACUACCCUUGUGCAUUACAUCAUUAAACUUGACAUGUCAACCGUCAGUUUCAUUCAUCAAUGUGUUACACCAAAUCGAGACCCCUUCUAUCAACAACCACUUUUCGAAUCGGCAUUCUCGAAAACUCGACUAGCAACUCUUCAACUAAGUUACUCUUUGACUAACACUAUCAAACAAGGAAUUCAAAACCAAUAAUCAAAAUAAGGCCCUUGAUAGGGUAAUAAUGUGUAAAUUUAUUUAAAAACAAAAAAUCUAAAUCUAAAGCAUUAGAUAAAGUGUAUUUUUUAUUCAAGCUUAUGCCAUACAAUUUGAACAAAAAUGAAAAUUUUAUAAAAGGUGACACAACAUGAACAUUAUAAUACAUUACUCUAUAUUCAUCACACACAUAAUCAGUCAAAGCAUAGCACUCCCAACAAAUAAUCAGCUACAUGAUCAAAUUUGCAAAUUAAAAAAAAAAAAGAGUAAGAAAGUCAAAACAAUUUAAACGGUCAGCUACCAGAAAAAGAAGAAGCAACAACUUGCUUAACAAAGCUGAUAUACACUCUCAAACUGCGACGAAUAGUGGAGCAAUCGAUGAAUAUGAAGAAGUCAUGCGUAACUGACGCUCAUAUUUGAUUUUUUGCAUUUCAAUCGAAACACAUCUAAAACGAAAAAAUAAAAAACAAAUUUAAAAAUCACAAAAAUUCAAAAGAUAGUAGAUCUAAAAAAACCUUAGAAAACAUCACACGAAAAAUCCCAAAAUUUAAAAUUUGGACAUCAGACAUGAUCAGACCUUGUUUUCAAAGAGCUUGUUGGGAAGUUCCUUGCAAGAUGCCUAGAAUCCCUAUAGUUGUAGCAGAUCCGCUGUUACCACCGUCGCCGUGCAUGCUUCCACAUCUGCUUCCUUCUUGGUUGCAACCCCUGGCCAUAUGGCUCAUCCCUACCACAGCUGUAGCAAGCAAGCGCCACAACUUCCUCCUUUGUUACAGUUCCAGGCCAUGUGACCCAUCCCCACCACAUCUGUAGCAACCGCCACAGCUACCACGUCCUUCACUGCCACCAUCGCGACCCCAAUGAUGGAUUGAAAAAAUAAAACGGAGGAGAAGCAACUAGAAGAAUGCAUUGAACAAUGAAAACAGGAGGUUAUAAAUAUACUUUUUUCUUCAAUUCAAAAC